GAUGAACGCUGGCGGCGUGCCUAAUACAUGCAAGUCGAGCGAACGGACGAGAAGCUUGCUUCUCUGAUGUUAGCGGCGGACGGGUGAGUAACACGUGGAUAACCUACCUAUAAGACUGGGAUAACUUCGGGAAACCGGAGCUAAUACCGGAUAAUAUUUUGAACCGCAUGGUUCAAAAGUGAAAGACGGUCUUGCUGUCACUUAUAGAUGGAUCCGCGCUGCAUUAGCUAGUUGGUAAGGUAACGGCUUACCAAGGCAACGAUGCAUAGCCGACCUGAGAGGGUGAUCGGCCACACUGGAACUGAGACGCGGUCCAGGCUCCUACGGGAGGCAGCAGUAGGGAAUCUUCCGCAAUGGGCGAAAGCCUGACGGAGCAACGCCGCGUGAGUGAUGAAGGUCUUCGGAUCGUAAAACUCUGUUAUUAGGGAAGAACAUAUGUGUAAGUAACUGUGCACAGCUUGACGGUACCUAAUCAGAAAGCCACGGCUAACUACGUG
rnacentral:rRNA from 1 species